GACGAACGCUGACGGUGUGCUUUAGACAUGCAAGUCGAACGAGAAAGCCCUUCGGGUUAGUAAAGUGGCGAACGGGUGAGUAACACGUGGGCAAUCUGCCCCUCGCAGGGGGACGAACCGGAGGAAACUCCGGCUAAUACCCCGUAAGUUCAAAGGGAGGCAUCUCUCUUCGAAGAAAGGUAGCUUCGGCCAUCCGGCGAGGGAUGAGCCCGCGGUGCAUUAGCUAGUUGGUGGGGUAACGCCUACCAAGGCGACGAUGCAUAGCUGGUCUGAGAGGAUGAUCAGCCACACUGGGACUGAGACACGGCCCAGACUCCUACGGGAGGCAGCAGUCGGGAAUCUUGCGCAAUGGGCGAAAGCCUGACGCAGCAACACCGUGUGUGUGAGGAAGGCCC
rnacentral:rRNA from 1 species